rnacentral:rRNA from 1 species
CAGUCGCCACGGGAAUACGUAGGUGGCAAGCGUUGUCCGGAAUUAUUGGGCGUAAAGGGCUCGCAGGCGGUUUCUUAAGUCUGAUGUGAAAGCCCCCGGCUCAACCGGGGAGGGUCAUUGGAAACUGGGAAACUUGAGUGCAGAAGAGGAGAGUGGAAUCCCACGUGUAGCGGUGAAAUGCGUAGAGAUGUGGAGGAACACCAGUGGCGAAGGCGACUCUCUGGUCCGUAACUGACGCUGAGGAGCGAAAGCGUGGGGAGCGAACAGGAUUAGAUACCCCCGUAGUCCCUGUCUCUUAUAC